GAUGAACGCUGGCGGCGUGCUUAACACAUGCAAGUCGAACGGAAAGGCCGAAGCUUGCUUCGGUACUCGAGUGGCGAACGGGUGAGUAACACGUGGGUGAUCUGCCCUGUACUUCGGGAUAAGCUUGGGAAACUGGGUCUAAUACCGGAUAUGACAAUCUCUUGGAUGGGGUUGUGGAAAGCUUUUGCGGUAUGGGAUGAGCUCGCGGCCUAUCAGCUUGUUGGUGGGGUAAUGGCCUACCAAGGCGUCGACGGGUAGCCGACCUGAGAGGGUGUACGGCCACAUUGGGACUGAGAUACGGCCCAGACUCCUACGGGAGGCAGCAGUGGGGAAUAUUGCACAAUGGGCGCAAGCCUGAUGCAGCGACGCCGCGUGGGGGAUGACGGCCUUCGGGUUGUAAACUCCUUUCGCAACCGACGAAGCUUUUGUGACGGUAGGUUGAGAAGAAGCACCGGCUAACUACGUG
rnacentral:rRNA from 1 species